rnacentral:lncRNA from 1 species
AACUUUACGGUCUCUCUCAUUAACCCUUCCCAGAACGUCUUCGUCUUCACUGAGCAGAGAGAACAUAUCCUCUUGUCUGUCAACAAUCGGAACAGGAUUACGGGCCGGGGCACGGACUACUCUGGCAUUAGCGGCAUCUGGAACAAUAGGUUGACCGUUGAUUCGAAUACCCCCCAACUCAUCACCUACAGCAUAGUUGUUGACGGGUACAGCAGCAGCAACAUUGUUAUCAUUGACUGGGCCUCCCUCUGGCGGAG